rnacentral:sRNA from 1 species
AUAAAAGUCUCGAAUAGAUUUUAUCCAACUAUUAUUUACUACCGUUUGGUUUGAAUAACCAAUCAUCAUGCAUUUCUUCAACAUUUUCAUAUGCAUUGGACUCAUUGUGGCAAUGACCACUGUGCGAUUUGAUGUUGCUACUACGUCCACAACACACAGACCUCCUAGCCCAACUCAACCACCAAGGCAACGACCAGCAAGACCACGUAGUCCCCAGCCAAUGGCAUAGGAAUUAUACCACAAAAGAAAUAUAUAAUCACAAUUGUAGAGUUCCUCCCACCUUGGUCAAUAAAAAAGUUUAAUAAAAAAAUAGCCUA